AUUGAACGCUGGCGGCAGGCCUAAAACAUGCAAGUCGAGCGGAGCGGCGGACGGAUGAGUAAUGCCUAGGAAUCUGCCUGGUAGUGGGGGAUAACGUCCGGAAACGGGCGCUAAUACCGCAUACUAUCAGAUGAGCCUAGGUUGGAUUAGCUAGUUGGUGGGGUAAAGCACUACCAAGGCGACGAUCAGUAACUGGUCGGAGAGGAUGAUCAGUCACACUGGAACUGAUACACGGUCCAGACUCCUCGGGGAGGCAGCAGUGGGGAAUAUUGGACAAUGGGCUAAAGCCUGAUCCAGCCAUGCCGCGUGUGUGAAGAAGUUCUUCGGAUUGUAAAACACUUUAAGUUGGGAGGCGUUACCAACAGAAUAAGCACCGGCUAACUUCGGGCCAGCAGCCGCGGUAAUUC
rnacentral:rRNA from 1 species